rnacentral:rRNA from 1 species
UACGAGUUGUGCAAACGUUAUUCGGAAUCACUGGGCUUAAAGGGUGCGUAGGCGGCUACGAAAGUCAGGUGUGAAAUCCCUCGGCUCAACCGAGGAACUGCGCUUGAAACUACAUAGCUUGAGGGAGACAGAGGUGAGCGGAACUGAUGGUGGAGCGGUGAAAUGCGUUGAUAUCAUCAGGAACACCGGUGGCGAAAGCGGCUCACUGGGUCUUAUCUGACGCUGAGGCACGAAAGCCAGGGGAGCAAACGGG